GUCAGCAUGGUAUAGUGGUUUGUGUGUUGGACUAUGAUUCUGGAGAGCAGGGUUCAAAUCCCUAAUCAGCUA
rnacentral:tRNA from 1 species